CUUGCACAUUUCUUUUCUUCUCGUCCGAACUUCCAUAUCACACCAAGAUCAACGACUUGUUCCUUCAGCACAAACAAACGGUUCAAAUGAGAACUACACAUGUGUUGCUUUUGUCCCUCGUAUUACUCGUGCUAGCAUCAGAUGUGGUAGUGGAGGCAUCAAGAGAUCCUAGCAUUAAUGAAUUCGUAUGCGUGGAGAAAAUUUUCCCGUCUCCAACAUGUAAUACCCAUGCUUGUGAAGAGGCAUGCUUCAAACGUACAAGGCAAUUCAAAUCUGGUGAAUGUGUUGCUAAGGGGUGCAAGUGCAAGAUGUGCAUAUACCAGCCUCCAGCCAUCCAUAAUAAUGAACAAAUGGGUUCUAAUUAGCUGAGAUAGGAUUCUGUUUUUAGCGAAUAAUGUGACCGAAUCACAAAUGGUGUAGAGGCAAGGUUUUUCACUCAUAUAAGCCAUAUGAAGAGUGAUAAAUUUAGUCUUGCUUCGUGAAAAUUAUAUGGAAUUAAGUAGUGGUCUAUAAUAUUUGAAUAAGUGGUCUAUAAAAUUUGUGUGAUUGAAUAUGUAUUGUUUUUAGUUAAACUAACUAUUUUUCUAUAGAGAAAAUGCUAUGUUUGUUC